UGGGGAAUUUUGGACAAUGGGCGAAAGCCUGAUCCAGCAAUGCCGCGUGUGUGAAGAAGGCCUUCGGGUUGUAAAGCACUUUUGUCCGGAAAGAAAUCCUUGGCUCUAAUACAGUCGGGGGAUGACGGUACCGGAAGAAUAAGCACCGGCUAACUACGUGCCAGCAGCCGCGGUAAUACGUAGGGUGCAAGCGUUAAUCGGAAUUACUGGGCGUAAAGCGUGCGCAGGCGGUUUGCUAAGACCGAUGUGAAAUCCCCGGGCUCAACCUGGGAACUGCAUUGGUGACUGGCAGGCUAGAGUAUGGCAGAGGGGGGUAGAAUUCCACGUGUAGCAGUGAAAUGCGUAGAGAUGUGGAGGAAUACCGAUGGCGAAGGCAGCCCCCUGGGCCAAUACUGACGCUCAUGCACGAAAGCGUGGGGAGCAAACGGGAUUAGAUACCCUGGUAGUCCACGCCCUAAACGAUGUCAACUAGUUGUUGGGGAUUC
rnacentral:rRNA from 1 species